AUUGAACGCUGGCGGCAAGCCUAACACAUGCAAGUCGAACGAGUGGCGGACGGGUGAGUAAUGUCUGGGAAACUGCCUGAUGGCGGGGUAUAACUACUGGAAACGGUAGCUAAUACCGCAUACCAUCGUCUGUUCCCAGAUGGGAUUAGCUAGUAGGUGGGGUAAAGGCUCACCUAGGCGACGAUCCCUAGCUGGUCUGAGAGGAUGACCAGCCACACUGGAAGUGAGACACGGGCCAGACGCCUACGGGAGGCAGCAGUGGGGAAUAUUGCACAAGGGGCGCAAGCCGGAUGCAGCCAUGCCGCGUGUAUGAAGAAGGCCUUCGGGUUGUAAAGUACUUUCAGCGGGGAGGCGUGACAAGAAGAAGAAGAACCGGCUAACUCCGUGCCAGCAGACGCGGUAAGAG
rnacentral:rRNA from 1 species